UGCUCACUGCACUAGCGCGGCGCUUUCGGAAAGUCGGAAAAAUCGCUUCCCGAUCCGAGAAAACGCGACUGUCGGCGAUCGCGAGGCCACUGUCUCUGUCCUUGGAUCAUGGUUGGAGUACAGACUCACUCAGCUGUGUUCAUAAUGUCAUAUACUGUGCCAGUCCAGUAUACACUCAUAUCUGUGUUAUCCGGACCUCGAAGUCAUGGACACCUCAGCCCACGGACACCCUGUUGCACAUUACUCGGCAAUCUUCACUCGGCUGAAUUCUCAACGGAAUAUACUUCACGCUAGCAGCGGUAGCCACAGUACUAUUCCCAUGCACACAUUGAAUUCAGUUAUCAAGCGUCUGGACAAGGUCAUACACUACCUGAGAUCAUAAGUCCAGUAUCAUCCCAAUUGCCUAGGAAAUAUAUCAUCUCCAAAUGUAACCAAGAAUAGUUCAUGCACGUACUUCAAAAGAAGUAUAAUAUCAACACAAAAUCUCACA